GGGCCAGAAAGUUGUGAAUGGAGAGUCCACGUGGAGACUGGACAUUGUUACCUCCAACGCCUCACCUCUGAAGAGCCGGGCGAAUUGGCCUAUUCAGAACAAAUUAGCAGAAGAGAUGUAGGAACUGAUCCUUAUAAAAAUGUAUUGUGCAAUGUUAGACCAGAUUCCUGCACAUGUUAAUCUUUAGGAAAAAAACUAAGAUGCCAGUAGCGGACUAUAUGAACAGAGCAACUCAGAGAAAAAUGGAUGUCUGCCAACUACAGAAACAUGCUGUCCAGAAAAAUCACUGAUUGUAAAGGACAUCCUCUCUCCUUAUAUAAGCUACCAGAUGUUGUUGAAUUGAAUUUGAAAAAGAAAAAAAUAAAAAAGCUGAUGAGUCAUCGGGUGCAACCACA